AGAACUGAUAAUCUGAUAGGUGGAAUGAAGGAGUAACGUCCCGAAACGCCUACCCUAAUACUCCGACAGGCAUUGGACAUAGUUCUAAUGUUUGAAGCUCGGUGAAGUCGGCUGAGAGCAACCGUAGUAUUAUGAUAAUAAUAACGAAAGCUGUCCAGAGGUGGAUGGUGUUGCCUAUAGGCCGGGGGUCUACAAA
rnacentral:ncRNA from 1 species